AGUGUUUCUACUUAAAUGCUUUGUUGAAAGAACUCUGAAUAACCUGAAAAAAGCCCCUGAAGAUUUUACUAUUCAAAUUUCAAUUCAAAUUCUGCUCAUUAUAGCUAAAAAAAAGUAACCAAGUAAAUUUCCUUUGUGUUUUUUUAAUCAUCCCUUAGGUUGUUAUUAAUGCCCUAGAAAAGAUAAAUUCACUUUCAUUUGUUGCAGCUACCAAGAAAGGAAUUAGAAGAGCAAAGUAAACAAAAGAAUAGAAAAAAAACCCUUUGGAAAAAAUAAAGAAAAAUGAAAUUGAUCAAACUAAACCAGCAACAGUUCCCUACUGAAGGGGUUUGGGAGUUUUGUCUGUUUAGUUUUUAAGGUUUUGUGGGAUUUUUUUAAGUAUUAACAUUUGAAGUCAAUGGAGAAUUUCAUUUAAGCUUCUCAAUUACUCUUUUAGAGCAAUAAUUGAACAUGACAUCAAACGAGAGCAAACUUAUUUAUACUCCUUUGGGAUAAUUUUAAACCAGAAAGUGCUGCAUAAUAUUCUGGCUUUUAGUUUGUAGAAAAUGGUAAUGAGUGCAUUUUCCUGUCAGGCACAUGGUGUUCUGCAAGGGGGCACAGGGAAAGGAGUGCAGGGUGUUGUGCGGGGAUAUUUGGAAUCUCAGUGGGGGAGAACUGACAACAAAUGGCAUAAAGAUAGAAUAAAAAUAGGAAUAUAGACAGGAAGGAAAUCAUGCCUGCCUCUGUGAAUGAUACAAACCCAGUUUUUGUGCAGCAUUGAACAGAUCUGAUGGAUUUCCCCAUGGCACAUUUCACAGAUCCCAUCCAUGCAGAUGUUCAGACUCCUUCCCAUAUCAUCUUUGGGAUAAAACUCAAAACUAUCUGUCUUCUUUUAACAGGCUGGAAUGCUAUCUAUGUCUUAACAUCCAGCAGUGUGCAGUGCAGGAUGAAACCAGGCACAUCCUUACAGGAGCUGUGCAUGCCAGCACAUGAGCUUUUCAGCCCCAGUAGAGCAGACAUGUCUGGCCCAGGGUCACCAGCUCCUUGAAUUCCAUGUCUUCUCAAAGGCUCUUGCCGUACAUAGCAUUGCAGCAUUGCUUAUUUCAAAAGCUGUUGCAAACCCAGAGACUCAGAUAUCACUAGAAACCCAUGAAGAAACAAGGUGUCUUCUGUUCAGCACAUUCACCUGAGAUCAGACCGCAUAAAUCAGGUGCUCCCUUCUGCAGAGUCAUUCUCUCUUUCAGUAGCAUUUUGGACAUCAGAUGCUUAACCAGGUUUCCUUAACAAGGAAUUUUUUAGAAUUAGGGAAGCUGGGUACUGCCUGUGAGAAAAGGAGUUCAGUGAAACUCAUUCACUUUGUCACAGCCAGAGUAUCCAGAUGAAUCAGCUGCAGCUCUGAUGCUGACACUUACCUUUUGCUCUCACUCUGAAGUCAGUGGCAGAAGGAACAGAACUCCACAGCAAAGCACCGGAUCUUGCUCCAGACAGUCUGAAAUGCAAUUGGAUUUGGAAUCAGGCAGCCUGAAAAAUUAAACUUGGAAAAUGGUGAAGUGGGAGCCUCUUAAAACAGAGAUUGGAAACUGAAGGGGAGGAUAUUUCAAAGUUGUCAAUGCAGUUUCAUUGGUGCAGUGCUUAGAAAGGUGAACAAAGCUCCAGACUUCUAAAGAGUUCUACAUACAAUUCAGUCAAGUGACAUUUAUAUUGAACAGCAAUGCAGAAGUACCCAAGCUAAAGCUAAAGUGGUUUGAAACCUAGGCAUCUUAUGUGUGGCAGCAAGCAUCACAGCAUAUAUUUGAAUGAAAUCCUCAAGAUGGAGCUGGGACAAGGCUGAGGCAUUUCCUGAACCUCUGAACUCAGAAACAAUUGCUGAUCUCCCACGGCCACUGUGACCAGCCAAUACAGUGCUCAACUCACCUGUCAAAACACAAUGGUCAUUACAAAUACCACAAGGUGAGCUUUAACGUCUGUGUCAAUGACACAGCCUGACUCACCAUUCUGCAGAGGACAUGAUAUUU